rnacentral:rRNA from 1 species
ACGGGGUGCAGCAGGCGCGAAAACUUUACAAUGCGGGGAACCGUGAUAAGGGAACCCCGAGUGCCUGUAUAUGCAGGCUGUCCAGGUGUCUAAAAAACACCUGAAGAAAGGGCCGGGCAAGACCGGUGCCAGCCGCCGCGGUAAUACCGGCGGCUCGAGUGGUGGCCACUUUUAUUGGGCUUAAAGCGUUCGUAGCUGGGUUGUUAAGUCUCUUGGGAAAUCUGACGGCUCAACCGUCAGGCGCCCAAGGGAUACUGGCAAUCUUGGAACCGGGAGAGGUGAGGGGUACUUCGGGGGUAGGAGUGAAAUCCUGUAAUCCUCGAGGGACCACCUGUGGCGAAGGCGCCUCACCAGAACGGCUUCGACAGUGAGGGACGAAAGCUGGGGGAGCAAACCGGAUUAGAUACCCGGGUAGUCCCAGCCGUAAACGAUGCGCGUUAGGUGUAUCGGUGACCACGAGUCACCGAGGUGCCGAAGGGAAACCGUGAAACGUGCCGCCUGGGAAGUACGGUCGCAAGGCUGAAACUUAAAGGAAUUGGCGGGGGAG